rnacentral:rRNA from 1 species
GAUGAACGCUGGCGGCGUGCCUAACACAUGCAAGUCGAGCGGAGUUAUGAGAGGUGCUUGCACCACUUUUAACUUAGCGGCGGACGGGUGAGUAACACGUGAGUAACCUGCCCUCGAGUGGGGAACAACAUCGAGAAAUCGGUGCUAAUACCGCAUAAUAUCGGAGAUCCGCAUGCUUCUCCGAUCAAAGGAUUUAUUCGCUUGAGGAUGGACUCGCGUCCGAUUAGUUAGUUGGUGAGGUAACGGCCCACCAAGACAUCGAUCGGUAGCCGAACUGAGAGGUUGAUCGGCCACAUUGGGACUGAGACACGGCCCAGACUCCUACGGGAGGCAGCAGUGGGGAAUAUUGGGCAAUGGGCGAAAGCCUGACCCAGCAACGCCGCGUGAAGGAUGAAGGUCUUCGGAUUGUAAACUUCUUGAUCAGCGACGAAACAAAUGACG